rnacentral:rRNA from 1 species
UACGUAGGUGGCAAGCGUUGUCCGGAUUUAUUGGGUUUAAAGGGUGCGUAGGCGGUUCUGUAAGUCAGUGGUGAAAUACUCUAGCUUAACUAGAGGGGUGCCAAUGAUACUGCAGAACUUGAGUACAGAUGAGGUAGGCGGAAUUGACGGUGUAGCGGUGAAAUGCAUAGAUAUCGUCAAGAACACCGAUAGCGAAGGCAGCUUACUGGGCUGUAACUGACGCUGAGGCACGAAAGUGUGGGGAUCAAACAGG